CCAGACGAACGCUGGCGGCGUGCUUAACACAUGCAAGUCGAACGAGAAUCUGUGGAUCGAGGAUUCGUCCAAGUGAAGCAGAGGACAGUGGCGGACGGGUGAGUAACGCGUGAGGAACCUGCCUUUCAGAGGGGGACAACAGUUGGAAACGACUGCUAAUACCGCAUAAGCGCACAGCUUCGCAUGAAGCAGUGUGAAAAACUCCGGUGGUACAAGAUGGACCCGCGUCUGAUUAGCUGGUUGGUGAGGUAACGGCCCACCAAGGCGACGAUCAGUAGCCGGCCUGAGAGGGUGAACGGCCACAUUGGGACUGAGACACGGCCCAAACUCCUACGGGAGGCAGCAGUGGAGAAUAUUGCACAAUGGGGGAAACCCUGAUGCAGCAACGCCGCGUGAGUGAAGAAGUAUUUCGGUAUGUAAAGCUCUAUCAGCAGGAAAGAAAAUGACGGUACCUGACUAAGAAGCCCCGGCUAACUACGUGCCAGCAGCCGCGGUAAUACGUAGGGGGCAAGCGUUAUCCGGAUUUACUGGGUGUAAAGGGAGCGUAGACGGUUUUGCAAGUCUGAAGUGAAAGCCCGGGGCUUAACCCCGGGACUGCUUUGGAAACUGUAGGACUAGAGUGCAGGAGAGGUAAGUGGAAUUCCUAGUGUAGCGGUGAAAUGCGUAGAUAUUAGGAGGAACACCAGUGGCGAAGGCGGCUUACUGGACUGUAACUGACGUUGAGGCUCGAAAGCGUGGGGAGCAAACAGGAUUAGAUACCCUGGUAGUCCACGCCGUAAACGAUGAUUACUAGGUGUUGGUGGGUAUGACCC
rnacentral:rRNA from 1 species